rnacentral:rRNA from 3 species
UUUUCAGAGAUGAGAAUGUGCCUUCGGGAACCGUGAGACAGGUGCUGCAUGGCUGUCGUCAGCUCGUGUUGUGAAAUGUUGGGUUAAGUCCCGCAACGAGCGCAACCCUUAUCCUUUGUUGCCAGCGAUUCGGUCGGGAACUCAAAGGAGACUGCCAGUGAUAAACUGGAGGAAGGUGGGGAUGACGUCAAGUCAUCAUGGCCCUUACGACCAGGGCUACACACGUGCUACAAUGGCGCAUACAAAGAGAAGCGACCU